rnacentral:rRNA from 1 species
UACGUAGGGUCCGAGCGUUGUCCGGAGUUACUGGGCGUAAAGCGCGCGCAGGCGGCGGUGCUGGCCCGGCGUGAAAGCCCCCGGCUCAACCGGGGAGGGUCGUCGGGGACCACACCGCUUGAGGGCGGUAGGGGCUGGUGGAAUGCCUGGUGUAGUGGUGAAAUGCGUAGAGAUCAGGCGGAACACCAGUGGCGAAGGCGGCUCACUGGCCCGAUACUGACGCUGAGGCACGAAAGCGUGGGGAGCAAACAGG